rnacentral:rRNA from 1 species
UACCUGAGUAAAGUGGCGUACGGGUGAGUAACACGUGACUAACCUACCCUGGAGUGGGGGAUAACUGAGGGAAACCUUAGCUAAUACCGCAUAAUACCUACGGGUCAAGGAGCAAUUCGCUUUGGGAGGGGGUCGCGGCCGAUUAGUUAGUUGGCGGGGUAAGAGCCCACCAAGACUGUGAUCGAUAGCCGGCUGAGAGGGCACACGGCACACUGGCACUGAAACACGGGCCAGACUCCUACGGGAGGCAGCAGUGGGGAAUCUUGCACAAUGGGGGAAACCCUGAUGCAGCGACGCCGCGUGAGCGAUGAAGCCCUUCGGGGUGUAAAGCUCUUUCGUCAGGGGAAAGAAUCAAAUUGAACCGGGGGGGUUACCCUGGAGAAGCAGCUGCGGUAACUACGUGCCAGCAGCCGCGGUAAUACGUAGGCAGCAAGCGUUGUUCGGAGUUACUGGGCGUCAAAGGGUGCGUAGGCGGCUAUUCUAAGUUUGGUGUGAACAUCUCCCGGUCCAACCGGGAGGGUGCGCCGAAUACUGAGUGGCUAAGUGCGGGAGGAGG